rnacentral:rRNA from 1 species
UAGAGUUUGAUCCUGGCUCAGAACGAACGUUGGCGGCGUGGAUUAGGCAUGCAAGUCGAGCGAGGACACCAUCAUAGCAAUAUGGGGGUGAGUCGAGCGGCGUAAGGGGCAGUAAUACCUGGGAACGUACCCUUGUGUCGGGAAUAGCCACGGGAAACUGUGGGUAAUGCCCGAUAACACCGAGAGGUCAAAGGCUUGCCGCACAGGGAGCGGCCCAGGCGAUAUUAGCUGGUUGGUGGGGUAACGGCCUACCAAGGCAAAGAUGUCUAGCGGGUGUGAGAGCACGACCCGCGCCACUGGCACUGAGACACUGGCCAGACACCUACGGGUGGCUGCAGUCGAGGAUCUUCGGCAAUGAGCGCAAGCUUGACCGAGCGACGCCGCGUGCGGGAUGAAGGCCUUCGGGUUGUAAACCGCUUUGGUCCGGAAAUAAGGGGAAACCUUGAAUAACCGGAGAAACAAGCACGGGCUAAGUUCGUGCCAGCAGCCGCGGUAAGACGAACCGUGCGAACGUUGUUCGGAAUCACUGGGCUUAAAGGGCGCGUAGGCGGCCGAGCGGGUCGUGGGUGAAAUCCCCCAGCUUAACUGGGGAACUGCCUACGAUACCACUGCGGCUGGAGGAAGGCAGGGGCACUCGGAACUGUCGGUGGAGCGGUGAAAUGCGUUGAGAUCGACAGGAACGCCGGUGGCGAAAGCGGAGUGCUGGUCCUUUUCUGACGCUGAGGCGCGAAAGCCAGGGGAGCAAACGGGAUUAGAUACCCCGGUAGUCCUGGCCUUAAACGAUGAGAACUAUGUAGUGGGCUCGACCUGGCACACUGCCGCAGUGAAAAUCCUAAGUUCUCCGCCUGGGGAGUAUGGUCGCAAGGCUGAACUCAAGGAUUGACGGGGCUCACACAGCGGUGGAGCAUGUGGCUUAUUCGAGGCUACGCGAGACCUUACCCAGGCUUGACAUGUGCGAAGCGCAAGUGUACCCUGCGGAACGCAGGGAACCCCGCAAGGGGGACUUGG